rnacentral:tRNA from 1 species
GCCUGGGUGGCUCAGUCGGUUGAGCAUCUGACUUUGGCUCAGGUGAUGAUCGUGUGGUUAGUGAGUUCAAGCCCCACGUCGGGCU